UGGGGAAUAUUGGACAAUGGGGGAAACCCUGAUCCAGCAAUGCCGCGUGAGUGAAGAAGGCCUUAGGGUUGUAAAGCUCUUUCGACCGCGAAGAUAAUGACGGUAGCGGGAGAAGAAGCCCCGGCUAACUCCGUGCCAGCAGCCGCGGUAAUACGGAGGGGGCUAGCGUUGUUCGGAAUUCCUGGGCGUAAAGCGGACGUAGGCGGAUGCGCAAGUUGGGGGUGAAAUCCCGGGGCUUAACCUCGGAAUUGCCCUCAAAACUGCACGUCUUGAGACCGAGAGAGGUAAGGGGAAUUCCUAGUGUAGAGGUGAAAUUCGUAGAUAUUAGGAGGAACACCUGUGGCGAAGGCGCCUUACUGGCUCGGUACUGACGCUGAGGUACGAAAGCGUGGGGAGCAAACA
rnacentral:rRNA from 1 species